rnacentral:lncRNA from 1 species
UAUCUUUAAACGAAUUGUGUGUCAGACGGCUAUGGAUAAGCUAGCACCUCCCCUAAUCAGCUCGAGGUCAAGCUAGCACCUCCCCUACAGCUAAUUACUCUAACUUUAAAAUGGUACAAUUUAAAGCUAAUGGUUGCUCUAUUUCUAUCUGUAGGUUUUGGAAUGUUACACGCAAGGUGGGUAUACGCCAUACCGAUCUAUCGGGUGUUAGUCCCACAUCAAGAGAAAUUUCUAAGGCAUUAAAUAUCAGGCCUAAAGGCAGGUAUAAGCCAGGCUAAUCUACUAAGUGUUAGUCCCGCUUUACAAAAAAAUUCUAAGGCAUUUAAUGCCAUAUCGCUCGUUAAGAAAAAAAUCAAGGGGCUCAUAAGGGCUAGAAAAAUGCAUAGAAGCUCGCAAAGGCAUUUGGUGCCAAAAGCUCGUCAGGGCUAUAAAAGGCUAGGAAGCCCGUCAGGGCUGUGUAAGGCCAUGGAGCUCGCAAGGGUUAGAAAAAUGGGCAGAAGCUCGUCAAGGCAUUUGAUACCAUAAAGCUUAGAGGAGCGUCAAGGCUAAGAUUAGGGCUAGAAAAAUGCUAGGAAGAUCGUGAAGGCUAGAAAAAGGCAAGGGGUUCGUAAGGGCUAAAAAAAUACCCAGAAGAUCGCAAAGGCAUUUGGUGCCAAAUGCUCGUUAGGGCUGUAAAAGGCCAGGAAGCUCAUUAAGGCAGUAUAAGGCUAGGGAGUUGGUAAGGGCUAGAAAAAUAUCCGAAAGCUCACAAAGGCAUUUGGUGCUAAAAGCUCGUUAGGGCUGUAAAAGGCCAGGAAGCCCGUUAGAGCAGUAUAAGGCCAGGGAGCUCGUAAGGGCUAGAAAAAUGUUCGAAAACUCAGAAAGGCAUUUGGUGCCAAAAGCUUGUCAAGGCAUUUGGUGCCAAAAGCUUGUCAAGGCAUUUGGUCAGGCUCCGACCAUAAUCCGAGCGCUGGUCCCACCAAUCAAGGUAUUCAUGCCAGGCCAUAAGGCGAGAAUAAGCCAGGUUAGAAGACCGAGCAUUUAUCCCACUAAUCAAGGCCUUCGAUGCCAUGCCACAAGGCGGGCGUACGUCAGGCCAACCAAUUAGGUAUUAAUCUCGCUUCACAAGAAGAGUCUAAGGCAUUUGAUGCCGACCAACCGAGUGUGAGCCCUAUCUCACAAGAAGUCUAAAGAAGACAGGUCUUCAAAUGUUACCUUCAAAAGACAGAGGCUAGUUUUUGCCAAAGAAGUGCCACAAGACAGAUAAUCGCCAAACACAUGACUGAGUGUUAGACCCAAAGCCGUUAAAGUCAGUUGUACACUUCGAAUAUGAAGAAUUGAAAAAUAGCAAGAGGACCCUUGAGCCACAAGGCAAGGGUCUGAUAAACCGAUAAAAGGUCCCACUUCACAAAAAAAAUCUCCAAAAGCAUUUGUCACUGAUUUUAUAAUCACUCCUGGAAAUUCAAAAAAUUUUAUGAAGAAAGAAAGCCCCGUAGACGGGUGAAAUGAUUUUUGAUGAUUGGCAAAGUCGGGGCAGGCUAUUAAGCGAAGGAGUGAAGUCUGCAAGAAGACUGAAAGCUGUCAGGAUUGGAAAACACUCACCAGGGCUAGUUAGGGCAAUAAAAUGACUAGAAGCUCGCAAGGGCUAGAAAAUUGCCUGAAAGCUUGCAAAGGCAUUUUGAUGCCAGAAAACUCGCAAGGGCUAGAGAAAGCCCGAAAGUUUGUAAGGGCCAGAAAAAUGCCUAGAAAUUCAAAAUGUCCAAAAGCUUGUCAGGUCUGAAAAAUGUCCAAAAGCUCAUUAAAGCUGGCCUAGUAUGGAAAAUGCCUAGAAGAUAGACAGGGCCGGUCAGCGCAAGUGAGUACCCAGAAGACUCAUGAUAGCCUAUCAGGGCUAGUUAGUGCAAGAAAGCACUAAGAGCUCGUCAAGGCUAGACAACACAAGAAAAUGCCUAGAAGCUCAUUAGGGUUGUAGAGUGCUCGGAAGCACGUCACGGCUAUAAAAUGCCUAGAAACUUGUCAAGAAUGGAAAAUGCAUGGCUGGUUGCUGCUAGAAGCUCGAUAGGGCUGAAAAAUGCCCAAAUGAUCCCCAGGGCUGGUUGGUGCUAGAGAAAGCUCAAAAACUCAUCAAGACAAUACUGUAUCACUUAAUCUUUGCCAGACAACAUCUUGGACCUGACUGGUUUGCAGAAGAAAGCAAGGACAUCUAGCGCUUAGCACGGACAAACAAGCCACAUAACCUAGAUCAUGAAGACAACUGUCAUCUUCGAAUCUAAAGAAUCAAAGACCAGCGGGGGGACCUCUGAUGCUAUAUAAGAAUUUUUUAAAGUAAUUCGUGAGCUGUCAUCAUGAGAUAGAGCCACGUGGCAAGGGCUUGAUAGGUUGAUACACAGUCCCACUCAUAAAAAGGAAGACUCGGACGACCAUUAUGCUCGAAACUAAGAGACGAAGGACCUUUCUUCAGGACAAGUCGGCCUAAGAUAAAGGUUGGUCAAAUUCAAAGGCGAGUCUCCAUAAGGAAGUUACCAUUAAUAAUUACAAUUCAGCAGACCCAUUUUUAUGCUUGCAAUCAGGGGAUUCUUGAUCCAUUAGCUGGUGAAGAUCUCUUUCCAACGAGUCGACCACAUCAUAGCCAGAUUAUCAAGAAAUAAUAUAUUUAUCUCCAUCUUCUUAUAGUAUAAAAGAAGAAGGAUCUCAAAGACUAAGGUAUUGUAACAGCCCAGAAACCGAACUGCCACCGACACUAGGAUCCAGAUCGACUUAAGGUCGCCGGGACCCGUAGUAAGCCUGCUAUCCUGUCUGUAUAUCUGUGAAAUCCCAUACAUGAUCAUACAUUUUCUGAAAAACAUAAAACUUUUCUUCAUUCCAAGACUUAACCUGUGCAUGCACUCUCUCUGUUCUCU